UUUGAUCCAAAAUUUUGGGUUGUAAUUAGAUAUUAAAAGCCAAUUUUGGCUAAGAAAAAGUGUGUAGUGUAGAGAGAGCUUUUUACUUUAGAGUUUAUUCCAUCUUCUAGUUUAGGUUUAGGGUAGUUUUCUUCCCCAUCGCUGUAGGUUUUUUUUUUAACUUUUUUUUAUUUUUUUUGCAUUUGUUUAGUUAGUUAAAACGGUUUUUACUGUAGCUUAGGUUCAUUUAUUUGUUUAGCACCUUAAACUCUUUUGUAAUCACAUUUUAGUCCUCGUUUAAUAUCAAUCAAUUUUCCUUUCUCUCACUUGUUAAAAAAUCAUAGCUUUAAUAUUUUUA
rnacentral:lncRNA from 1 species